AGUGAACGCUGGCGGUAGGCCUAACACAUGCAAGUCGAACGGCAGCACAGUAAGAGCUUGCUCUUACGGGUGGCGAGUGGCGGACGGGUGAGGAAUACAUCGGAAUCUACUUUUUCGUGGGGGAUAACGUAGGGAAACUUACGCUAAUACCGCAUACGACCUACGGGUGAAAGCAGGGGAUCUUCGGACCUUGCGCGAUUGAAUGAGCCGAUGUCGGAUUAGCUAGUUGGCGGGGUAAAGGCCCACCAAGGCGACGAUCCGUAGCUGGUCUGAGAGGAUGAUCAGCAACACUGGAACUGAGACACGGUCCAGACUCCUACGGGAGGCAGCAGUGGGGAAUAUUGGACAAUGGGCGCAAGCCUGAUGCAGCCAUACCGCGUGGGUGAAGAAGGCCUUCGGGUUGUAAAGCACUUUUGUUGGGAAAGAAAAGCAGCAGGUUAAUACCCCGCUGUUCUGACGGUACCCAAAGAAUAGGCACCGGCUAACUUCGUG
rnacentral:rRNA from 1 species